GAGGUCAUGCGAGGAUAGCUGUUUCUGACCACCACCGGCCUCUUCCUUCCCAUCAGUGUUAGAGGCCAAUGGCAGUCAGAAAUGGCUCGCCUUGGCUCUC